GACGAACGCUGGCGGCGUGCUUAACACAUGCAAGUCGAGCGAGCGGCGGACGGGUGAGUAAUGUAUGGGGACUGCCCGAUAGAGGGGGAUAACUACUGGAAACGGUAGCUAAUACCGCAUACUAUCGGAUAACCCAUAUGGGAUUAGCUAGUUGGUGAGGUAAUGGCUCACCAAGGCGACGAUCCCUAGCUGGUCUGAGAGGAUGAUCCGCCACACUGGGACUGAGACACGGCCCAGACUCCGACGGAGGGAGCAGUGGGGAAUAUUGCGCAAUGGGCGCAAGCCCGAUGCAGCCAUGCCGCGUGUAUGAAGAAGGCCCUAGGGUUGUAAAGUACGUUCAGUCGGGAGGCGUUACCGGCAGAAGAAGCACCGGCGAACUCCGUGCCAGCAGCCGCGGUAAUUC
rnacentral:rRNA from 1 species